rnacentral:rRNA from 1 species
UACAGAGGUCUCAAGCGUUGUUCGGAUUCAUUGGGCGUAAAGGGUGCGUAGGCGGCGCGGUAAGUCGGGUGUGAAAUCUCGGGGCUUAACUUCGAAACUGCAUUCGAUACUGCCGUGCUUGAGGACUGGAGAGGAGACUGGAAUUUACGGUGUAGCGGUGAAAUGCGUAGAUAUCGUAAGGAAGACCAGUGGCGAAGGCGGGUCUCUGGACAGUUCCUGACGCUGAGGCACGAAGGUCAGGGGAGCAAACGGG